UACGUAGGGGGCCAGCGUUGUUCGGAAUUACUGGGCGUAAAGGGUUCGUAGGCGGUGCGGCAAGUUGGGAGUGAAAUCUCUGGGCUUAACCCAGAGGCUGCUUUCAAAACUGCUGUGCUUGAGUGUGAGAGAGGCUCGUGGAAUUGCAGGUGUAGCGGUGAAAUGCGUAGAUAUCUGCAGGAACACCCGUGGCGAAAGCGGCGAGCUGGAUCACUACUGACGCUGAGGAACGAAAGCUAGGGGAGCAAACAGG
rnacentral:rRNA from 1 species